rnacentral:lncRNA from 1 species
GAGACUGCCCUGGUGUAUCACAUUGUUUCUCUACUGCACGAAACCGAAAUCUGAUUUAUUUACUAUUAAGGAGAGUCCAGUUGUCAAAAAAGAAGUGUCCAUCCGAGUUACUUAAACUUGUCACCAAAAAUGUGACGUGUUGUAAACUAAUUGGAAAGCAAGUCAAAAGCUCAUCACGUGGCAUAUUCGCCAACAAGUCACAAAACCACUAUAGAAA